CGGAGGUUAUCAGUUUGAAUUUCUCUCGCGUGCCAGCUAGACGCGGAACGGAACUGGUUUCUGUUGAACGCACGUGAGUUCAGUAGAACUGUGACCGGCGAGCAGAACGGACGCGUGUGCGUGUUUCGAAUUUUGAGUGACGCGAUUGUUUGAAAUUUACGCGCGCGCGUGAUUAAACCCGCGUUUAAUCGCGAUUUAAUAUCUAGAAGGGUGUGUGAGUGUUUGUGAUAAGUGAGUUGAAAGGUGGUAGCUGCACCUGAGGUGAAGCAAAAUUCCGUCAAGAAAUUUUGGGAAAUUUGCCCCGCUGGCGAGUGUGCAGAUUAAAUCGUAAAGAAAAAGUAUUUCAUUCCUGAAAGUGAAUAAAAGUUUGUUAAAUAUUCAAGCGGAAAAGAGCUCGUCCUUGAAGUCUCUUCAAGUGCUUUACCUUCCAUCAGAGCAGGGGCCAGCAAAUCGAGUGUUUUCCCAAGUACAAAUUGAAUAAUAACAGUUUCGCCGGAAGAGCAACUCUCAUCCCAAAGAGGAAGAGGCACUCUUUGAAGUGGUGUUUGCUUGCUUGCUCGAUUUGACGAAGGAUUACCCCGGUGCGUCCUCGCACUGGUCCUGCCACAGGGUUUGACAAAUCUCCAAACUUCCGCACCGUGCGCUCGUCAAAUUGUUCCGGCCUGAUGUUGCUGCUUGGUAACGGGAUGGAUCGGCGAUACAGUCUGCAGCUUCUGGCAAUCUUGCUUGGACCAAUGAUUCUUCAUAAAUGAGCUGCGGGAACCAUUCACUACACCGGAAAGAUUUGCUGAAAAUGUAAAUGUAAUGAAGUAAAACGACGACCUUGCAAUCGACAUUUGACAGCCGCCCAAACAUUUUUUUCCGCGUUGAUCGCAGGAGCCGACCAAAAUCAACCGCGAAAAACAACAACGAUCACCAAGGACGACUCGCGUAACCAUGGUAGCCAUAGUUACGAGAAAAUAACAAUCUGAAAGAUAGGCGGAGAAAUGGGUGCGAAAAUGUCUCGCCGUAAAGGGCGGAAGGCCGCUGCGGCCGCCGAAGAGGCCAGUACGGUCGAGGAGUUGGCCACUCCGCGUACGGAAGAAACGGACGUUGACCGGGUUGCGGGUGGCGGACGGGUUGACGGGGGCGAUGACUUGGCGGGGGGAAUUCCGGAACCGGAUCCGCCGGUUCUGGAACAAAAUUUAACUGACUCUUGUUUUGACCAUUCUGAUGAACCGGCGGAUCCGGUUCCGGAAGCCCCAGUGGUAAUUGAAAUUCCUUUUCCUUUGAAUAACUCUUUGGACAUUACUGCGGCGGUUCCGAUUCCGGAACCGUCCGUAGAUCAAAAUUCUACUUUGAAUGAUUUGUCUAUUUCAGGGGGAAUCGAGGGCCAAAUCGAAGAGAUUACCGUAGUUCCGAUACCGGAUCCACCGGUCAUGGAGCAAAAUUUAAACGACGAUUCUUUGGAAAAUUCCGAAACAUCGGUGGAUCCGGUUGAGGAAUCAAUGGUAAUCGAUUCAGUUGAAUUUUCGGAACCAACGGCUUCCAUCUUGGAACCGCCAGAACGUUAUGUUCGCAAAAUUAGUUUGGAGGAAGUUCCGGAACAACCAAAUUUAAAAGUAUUUUCAAAUUCUAAAAGAUCAGUCCGUUUUUCAGAUUUGGCACAGGUUCAAGAGUAUACCGUUUUGGAAUCCUCUAUUCCAAAACAGUACUCGAUUCCGGUGAACGAUUCCUCAGAAUCUGUUCCGGAACUUCCCAAACAAAAUUCCAAAAAAAUAAAAUAUUUUUGGUGUUACUCCUGUCAAAAUUCUCGUACGAAUUCUUUGCCCUGGUUGCUGCGAUUGCGGUAUUCAAAAUUUUCGAUGUGGUUGCGCCAUUUGUUUUGUGGUUCGAUGUGUUGCGCGGUUAUUUGUUUGCUUGUUUUUGUUUGAAUUGUUUAAUGUUUUUUCUCGUUUCAUGAGCUGUUUCUAGUUAGGAGCGUUUUUCAGUUACUGAUGAUGAUGACGAUUAUAUGACGAAGAAGACGAUGAUGAUGAUGAUAUCCGAUGACGAAUGUAUGAUUAAAUGCGAUGAAUUUUGGAUGGAUUAGUAAAAUGCCGAAUUUCUGGACUGGACUGGACGGUAUUGACGGAGAGGCCUUUGUUUGGAGACUGAAGAUUUUUUAUUACGAAUGAAAUGUAUUUAUUUAUUUCUGUAAUUUGAAAUACAUGUAUGAAAACAAAA
rnacentral:misc_RNA from 1 species